rnacentral:rRNA from 1 species
ACGGGUGAGUAAUACAUCGGAACGUGCCCUGUAGUGGGGGAUAACUAGUCGAAAGAUUAGCUAAUACCGCAUACGACCUGAGGGUGAAAGUGGGGGACCGCAAGGCCUCAUGCUAUAGGAGCGGCCGAUGUCUGAUUAGCUAGUUGGUGAGGUAAAGGCUCACCAAGGCGACGAUCAGUAGCUGGUCUGAGAGGACGAUCAGCCACACUGGGACUGAGACACGGCCCAGACUCCUACGGGAGGCAGCAGUGGGGAAUUUUGGACAAUGGGGGCAACCCUGAUCCAGCAAUGCCGCGUGUGUGAAGAAGGCCUUCGGGUUGUAAAGCACUUUUGUCCGGAAAGAAAUCGCACUUACUAAUAUUAGGUGUGGAUGACGGUACCGGAAGAAUAAGGACCGGCUAACUACGUGCCAGCAGCCGCGGUAAUACGCAGGGUCCAAGCGUUAAUCGGAAUUACUGGGCGUAAAGCGUGCGCAGGCGGUUGUGCAAGACCGAUGUGAAAUCCCCGGGCUUAACCUGGGAAUUGCAUUGGUGACUGCACGGCCAGAGUGUGUCAGAGGGGGGUAGAAUUCCACGU